GGCUCAGUGACUUACCAUGGAAUACCAC
rnacentral:piRNA from 1 species